rnacentral:lncRNA from 1 species
UCCUCAAACCCCACAACAGGACCUAAUUAACCGCGCCUUCAAGGUGUACAAUAAUAAAGAGUUGCAAUUACUUGCCUCUGCUGUGUGAGAAACCCCAGCCAUAUCUCCAGCACACAAAAACUUCAAAACGCCUAAGCCACAGCAGUCAGGCAUUCCUUCAGGACUUCCUCCCCCAGGAUCUUGCUUCAAGUGCUGGAAAUCUGGCCACUAGGCCAAGGGAUGCCCACAGAACUGGGACUCCUCCUAAGCCGUGUCCCAUCUGUGUGGGACCCCACUGGAAACUGGACUGUCUAACUGGCCCAAGGCUCUGACUGACUCCUUCCCAGAUCUUCUCGGCUCAGUGGCUGAAGACUGACGUUGCCUGAUCACCUCGGAAGCCUCCUGGACCAUCACAGACGCUUUGGGUAACUCUUACAGUGGAGGGAUACAAUUGAAGACACUGGUUAUUUUACCAAGGCUUUGAUUGGAAUGGCUUACUUUCAGAUAUAAAUCAACUGCUUUAAGGAAUCAAAGUUGACUUACAGAGUCAUAAAAGCCCCUUGGGAAAGCUGGCCUCAUGCCUUUCCACACAGUUCCUGUACAGUUUCCUGACGUGUGUUAUGCUGUGCUUUCUUAAAACCCUGUGAACUGAAGCUACACAACUUAAACUUCAGAAGAAAAUAACAGCAACCUAUAUGCCAGCCUACUGAUGUAUGAACUUCAGAGAAAAAUGGCUCUAUCUUUUCAUUUGUUUGUUGUUUUCUUUCUUUCUGUCCCUAUUUUCUGUUUGUAGAACAUGAUACUUUACAACCUGCUAAAAAUGAGCUUUUCUAAUAAUGUGAGACCUACCUGUCUAGAAUAGAUCAUCCUAGCUAUAAGUGAUCAGAAAAACCUGAGACUGGAGACUCAUUUUCUUCUAAAAUGCUCUUUCUGAAAGAUUUUAAAAAGAAACAGAAAAAAUGUGAAAGGAAAAUAAA